CAGCAGUCCUCUCCUGGAUAUACAUUCUGGACAUCCUCACCCAGGUCCUGAAGGGGACAUGUACCAGAUAUCCACUAUGGGUUUGUGCAUGGUGCCGGGGAACUAGGGCAAGAAAGUAUUCAUCCCUGUGGGAGUGGAGGUGCAAAACGUGACAGCAGCCCACCCUCCAUGGCCCACCGGAGUUGGCAUAGUGAAUCAGAUGUGCUGGUCACUGCAACUAGAUGGAUCCUCACAGCGCAGUGCUGAGUGAGGAAAGCACAGUCUAGAACUGUCACAUAAUGUCACGUGUGGAAAUUUAAAAUGCAUGCACAGGAGAGAAAUACACAUUUAUCAUAAACACAUAAAACAAAAGAUCCACAUUACGUAGACUGGAACCGCUACCCAUGCAGGAAGGAACAGGAGAGUGGAGAACAGAGAUGAAUAGAAAAAUAAACUGGGAGGAGAGGGGACCACAUAAAAAUUUGUACACAAAGGUUCAUAGCAGGAUUAUUCUUAAUACCCAGAAAGUGGAAACAACUCAAAUGUCCAUCAGCUGAUGAAUAGACACAUAAACUCUGGUCUAUCCAUAUACAAAGGGGUAUUAUUUGGCCAUAAACAGGAAUGAAGUACUGAUUUGUGCUGCAGCACGGAAGACCUUUGGAAACAAUAUGCUAACUGAAAGAAGUCAGUCACAAAAGACCACAUAUUGUGUGAUUCCAUUUUUAUAAAGUGUCCAAAAUAGGCAAAUCUAAGGAAACAGUGGGAAGGGUAUAGCUCAGUGGUAGAGCGCGUGCUUAACAUGCACAAGGUCCUGGGUUCAAUCCCCAGUACCUCCAGUAAAUAAAUAAAUAAACCUAAUUACCCACCCACCCACCCCCACCCAAAGGAAAAAAAGAAAGAAACAGAAAGUAGAUUAAGGUUUCCUAGCGCUGGGGGGAGGGGAAGUUUGAGAGAAAAUAGGGAGUCACUGCUAAUGAGUAUAAGGUUUCUUUUUGGGGUGAUGAAAAUGUUCUGAACUUAGAUAGUAGUGAUGGUUGUACAACUCUGAAGAUACUAAAAACUAUUGUUGUACACUUUAAAUGGGUGAGUUUUAUGCUCUGUGAAUUAUCUCAAGACAUUUAAAAAGAUAAACAGGUCAGGGAGAGUAUGCCCAAGUGGUUGCCCUGGGGUCCUUCCUCUUUGUUCUUCUCCUUUUGUGUUGGAACUGGGUGACGUUCACCUACCUUAACCCUGCCCAAGGGCCAUUGCCCUCAAAUGUGCACAUUUGCCUACGGCCCCGACCAAAGGCUCCCUGGAACUGACUCAAAGCCGACUUCAGGGCAGGACUGACUAGCAACCGGCAGACCACUUCCUCCACUGCUCAAAAGGGUCACUGCCAGCCAGUGCGGAAGGUUUUCUCACAGCAGAAGUUGAAAAGAACAUUCAGGACCUUCUGUGUUCUGUUAACCAAUUAUGAAAAAGGCUGAAUGUGUGAGAUUGAGAGACUUUCCAUCAAGGGGCUGAAGCUGUACUGGUAAGGAGGAUCCUUGUGUCUCCCUCCAUGGCUGGCCUGCCCCCUCUCCCAACAUGCUCCAUGCAGAGCCCCCCACCCUCUGCUCCCAUCACCACCAUGUUUCCAAGGGCUUUUGGGGAUCAUUAACACGACUUGCCAUGAUUUACUCAACAUUUCCCUUUAAAGCCAAUGACUCCCUUUUACUUCAGUCUUGUCCUACCCUCUUUAGCUUUGUCCUCAACAAUCUUUGCUAUGAAAUCCCUAGUUUGAUAGGUUUAUCAUUUUUCUCUAUUACAUAUUAAA